GGGGAGGGCCUACAGGGAGAGGGAGGGGGCACAAAGGAGUUAAAGAAGAGAAAGAGACACUUCGGGAAGAGGACAUGGCUUAGAGAGGUGAAUGCAUGUCAUGACCUGCUCAAUCUCCUCAGCUAAAUUUCUAGCCUCUCUACAACAAGAAUCUAAUCUCUUCAUUGGCUUAUCUUCUAUUAUUUAUUCUUUUUAUCUUUCUUUUUUAUUGUACUUUUCACUGCUGCUGUUAAUUUCUUCCUCAUGCAACCACUAUACCACCCCUCAUAAAUUCAGUCAUAUAUAAAGCUUUGCGGUUAACUGUAAUAGAUAUUCGCCGACCAUCCCUACCGUAAGCAGUAAAAGAUUUGAUGAUUGUUAUUCGAGAUUCCAAAUUCGCAAUUUAGUUGCUUCACAUUUUCAGCUAAGUUUAUUUAUUAAAAAAAAAAAAAAAGGCAAAAUGCUACCUUUUCUCUCUCUCAAAAAAAAUUUGUAAA
rnacentral:lncRNA from 1 species